GGUGAGAGGGAGGAUUGAUUUGUCAUGGCCAGUUGAGGAUGGAAGCCCAGGAUUUCCACAUGAUCUCCAUUGGCACAACAGGUGUGACCCUAUUACUGCUCAUUGAAGAUGAAAGUUCUGCCUCCUGACUCAGCCUUUUCUGACACCACCCUGAAGGGAGCAUUAAGGUUUCUACUUCUGGCUGUAGUGGAGUAUGUGGUUUCAACCAGUCUUCUCUCAUUGAACAACUAGACAAGCCAGACAAAAUAUUUUAAUGUAUUUUCUUGAAGAUUGUUUGAAGGCUUUAGCGAGCAACUGAGGCUGUGAAGAAUUGUCAGACCAAGGUCCAGGAAAGAAGAAAAGUCUCAAAAGGAGAUGGAUCUACUAAAAUAUGUUCAGGUUGCCAGUUACAUCUUACAGAAAAAGAAAGGAAGAAAGAAAAAGAAAUGCAAAUGCAAUGGAAUAAAAGGAAAGAAAAGAGAAGUCUCAGAAGGAAAGAUCAGAGAAAGGGAAGAAGACUGAAGUAAUACACUUUAAUAUCCUGUCUUUUCAACACAUUUUUUUUGUUCAAUGUCUCUGAGCCCUUCAUUUUUCUAGCCACAGUGUACUGUUGUUGCCAAACUUUCUCCAUAAUUCAGCUAAAAUCAGAAUCUCAUCACAAGACAGGGAAAGAUUAGGCUCACAAACACAUGGAAGGGUGAGGAAAAUUGAAUUUAUUUGAUGAAAAGGAAAAAGAAAGGAAAACCCUCAGCAAAGGGAAAGGGGGUCUUGCCAAUGACUUCUACCUCAUAGAUUGAAUACCAAGUCCCCACACAGGAACAGCAGAGGCCAGGCUCCUCCCUCCUGCAAAUGGUGCGAAUUUCCUGAGGCUCCACCCGCUCCUCCUAGUGAGCAGGUGGACAUUAUUCACGAAGAAUCAGUUGAGAAAGGUUGAGCUUCAUGUGGGACCAGCAGUCCAUUCUUUUAACCUUCAGGCUGUUUUAGGCUUGAAAGUGGGGUUUCCCAGGGGCCCUUGGCUGCCUCCUGUCUCUAUCACUGUUUUCAUAAACUUUUAUAAAUUUUAUAAACUUUAAAAAGUUGGAGUAUGUAUGUACAUAUCAUAUGUGCAUGUACAUAAAAUACAUAUAUAUAUCAUAUGUACAUGUACAUAAAAUACACAUGUACAUAUACAAAUCUAUGUAAACAUAUGUGACAUAUUAUACAUUCUGUAUUAUAAAUUUAUAAAAUAUACACACAUAAUACACAAACACACACGCACUAACGCAAAGUCACAAAUCCUAAGUGCACAUCUUGCUUAAUUAUCACAAA
ensembl:lncRNA novel transcript